rnacentral:rRNA from 1 species
CCCUUAGACGUUCUGGGCCGCACGCGCGCUACACUGACGAAGGCAACGAGCUUUCCUUUACCGAAAGGUACGGGUAAUCUUUUGAAACUUCGUCGUGCUGGGGAUAGAUCCUUGCAAUUUUUGAUCUUAAACGAGGAAUGCCUAGUAAGCGCAAGUCAUCAACUUGCGUUGAUUACGUCCCUGCCCUUUGUACACACCGCCCGUCGCUACUACCGAUUGAAUGGUUUAGUGAGGCCUUCGGAUCCGCGACUCGUUCGUGGAGAAGUUGGACAAACUCAGUCAUUUAGAGGAAGUAAAAGUCGUAACA